rnacentral:rRNA from 1 species
GACGACGCUCCUACGGGAGGCAGCAUGGGGGAAUAUUGCACAAUGGGGCGCAAGCCUGAUGCAGCCAUGCCGCGUGUGUGAAGAAGGCCUUCGGGUUGUAAAGCACUUUCAGUCGUGAGGAAGGUAGUGUAGUUAAUAGCUGCAUUAUUUGACGUUAGCGACAGAAGAAGCACCGGCUAACUCCGUGCCAGCAGCCGCGGUAAUACGGAGGGUGCGAGCGUUAAUCGGAAUUACUGGGCGUAAAGCGCAUGCAGGUGGUUUGUUAAGUCAGAUGUGAAAGCCCCGGGGCUCAACCUCGGAAUUGCAUUUGAAACUGGCAGACUAGAGUACUGUAGAGGGGGUAGAAUUUCAGGUGUAGCGGUGAAAUGCGUAGAGAUCUGAAGGAAUACCGGUGGCGAAGGCGGCCCCCUGGACAGAUACUGACACUCAGAUGCGAAAGCGUGGGGAGCAAACAGGAUUAGAUACCCUGGUAG